rnacentral:lncRNA from 1 species
CGCGUGGGAUGUUAACCAGGGCCACCUAGCAGCAAAUGCCCAGGCUGCUUCCAGGACUGCUAUUAUGAAGCUUACAGUAGAGAGACUUGCCAUCAGGAAGGCUCCUGUCUGCCAAGACGCCAGCACGCCCUGCCACCAGCAAUAAUUGCCAACAAGAAUAGCAGACCGUGUAAGAUAAGAAAGAUUGUAAGCUGUUCAGCCAACUAGAAUCGUCUGUGCUAAUGACUGGUAGGCAUCACAGGUUCCUUAUUUCAUAGGACAACUAUCUCAGAUGUGCUUGCCAUGAGGAUCAAAUGAGAUGCCAUGAGAAGAUGACACAAGGUGUCCAAGCUCUGGGAAGCUGCUGUGAAAUCCAUUCAGGGACAGGGAAGCUGUCAGAGGGAAUUUGGGGGCUAAUACUAGCCAGAAGCCAUACAGAGUAAAAGGAUGCUCUGACAGGCAGCUGACAGUGAGCAGCUCUGCACGGGGACGUUAGUUAAGAGGGCUUGUGGACUUAUAUUUUGUUUCAUCUGUGGAGGGAGGGGUAUGUUUGUGUGAGAGCAAGCAUGUGUGUGCUGCAGGAUGCUAAGGGCAGAGGACAGCCUCGGGUGUCAAGAGUCUCCUUUCACUGUCUCUGAGACAGGGUCUCUGCUGUUUGCCUGUUUGCACAGGCACCAGGGUAACUGGGAGCUACAGGGAAUUCUCUCAUCUCCACUUCCCACCCAUCCCUCCACAGAAGCACCGAGAGUACAGAGGUGUGUACUAUCUCAUGAGGUUCACAACGGGUU